GGGUAAUAGAUACCCUAUGUUCUCUCUCUCUCUCUCUCUCUCUCUCUCUCUCUCUCUCUCUAUAUAUAUAUAUAUAUAUAUAUAUAUAUAUAUAUAUAUAUAUAUAUAUAGAGAGAGAGAGAGAGAGAGAGAGAUCUAAAUAUAUAGAGUGAGAUAUUUA